rnacentral:rRNA from 1 species
UACGUAGGGUGCGAGCGUUAAUCGGAAUUACUGGGCGUAAAGCGUGCGCAGGCGGCGCGUUAAGACAGGUGUGAAAGCCCCGAGCUUAACUUGGGAAUUGCGCUUGUGACUGGCGUGCUGGAGUGUGGCAGAGGGAGGUGGAAUUCCACGUGUAGCGGUGAAAUGCGUAGAGAUGUGGAGGAACACCGAUGGCGAAGGCAGCCUCCUGGGCCAACACUGACGCUCAUGCACGAAAGCGUGGGGAGCAAACAGG